rnacentral:rRNA from 1 species
AGGACAAACGCUGGCGGCGUGCUUAACACAUGCAAGUGGAGCGACGAACCAGGCUUCGGCCUGGGGCAGAGCCGCGAACGGGUGAGUAACACGUGGGUAACCUGCCCUGAUGAUUGGGACAACCCGAGGAAACUCGGGCUAAUACCAAAUGUGCCCUCUGGCCUCAAGGCCUCUGGGGAAAGGAAGCUUCGGCCUCCGCAUUGGGAUGGGCCCGCGGCCCAUUAGCUUGUUGGUGAGGUAACGGCUCACCAAGGCUACGAUGGGUAGCUGGUCUGAGAGGACGAUCAGCCACACUGGGACUGAGACACGGUCCAGACUCCUACGGGAGGCAGCAGUGGGGAAUUUUGCGCAAUGGGGGAAACCCUGACGCAGCAACGCCGCGUGGAGGAUGAAGCCCCUUGGGGCGUAAACUCCUUUCGAUCGGGACGAUUAUGACGGUGCCGGAAGAGAAGCCCGGCUAACUUCGCGCCAGCAGCCGCGGUAA